AACAAACUCAAUGAUAAACGGUAUGCUCUCUCUUUUAUACCUCAGGCUAUCAGACAGCACAACAAACACUUUAAACGUACAUUUUUAUAAAUUCUGUACUGUAUUUAUGGUCUAUUUGUAUUGUAUUUAUGCUCUAUCUUUUUUGGGC